UACGAAGGGGGCUAGCGUUGCUCGGAAUCACUGGGCGUAAAGCGCACGUAGGCGGACUCUUAAGUCGGUGGUGAAAUCCUGGAGCUCAACUCCAGAACUGCCUUCGAUACUGGGAGUCUUGAGUCUGGGAGAGGUGAGUGGAACUGCGAGUGUAGAGGUGAAAUUCGUAGAUAUUCGCAAGAACACCAGUGGCGAAGGCGGCUCACUGGCCCGGUACUGACGCUGAGGUGCGAAAGCGUGGGGAGCAAACAGG
rnacentral:rRNA from 1 species